UACGUAGGGUGCAAGCGUUAAUCGGAAUUACUGGGCGUAAAGCGUGCGCAGGCGGUCGUUCAAGUCGAGUGUGAAAGCCCCCGGCUCAACUGGGGAGGGUCAUUCGAUACUGAUCGACUUGAAGGCAGGAGAGGGAAGUGGAAUUCCCGGUGUAGUGGUGAAAUGCGUAGAUAUCGGGAGGAACACCAGUGGCGAAGGCGACUUCCUGGCCUGUUCUUGACGCUGAGGCGCGAAAGCUAGGGGAGCAAACGGG
rnacentral:rRNA from 1 species